GCUCCUUACUGAUGGGUGAUAUCUAUGACAAUGCUGAUGCCAAUGAUGAUGUUUGCUGCUGAUGGUGGUAAUAAUGGAACAGAAGCUGAGCCUGAGAAUCUGGACUCUAAGGAACCAGAAAAAAAGAAGAGGCAAGACAGGAGGAAAUAAAGAACUGUGCCAUGGAUCUACUUGGAAUGUUGGCUUUCUUAGAAAAGGAACUCUAUUAAAGGACACCCCAGAUACGAACCACACCUAAGCUUUGUUUUAGGAGACCCUCUUGAGUUCUAAUGCAAAGUCUGAUUCUUCUCACUGACAUCAGGUUACUCCAGGACUGAAUCCAGCUUACCUGAGUCUAGACUUGUGAGAGAGAGCAUCUUCUUGGACCAUAAUUAACAUCCAUACAGCUAUGUGGGUGCAUAUCACCUCCCUCAAUUAGAGCAUAAGCUUCUUAAUGGCAAGACUGGUCUUUGCAUCUCCAGCACUUAACUCAAUGCAUGGUACAGUUGUCCCUUAAUAAAAUACUCAUUGAUCAAUUGCUAUGUGUCCGU
rnacentral:lncRNA from 1 species